AGCUGCCUGGCCAGCCCGAGAGAGACAGCGGAGAUUCAUUACCCGUCGACACAAUGACCAUUGAUGGCCCCGUGGCGUUAUUCAAAUCCAGUACCAAUUGCAGCCGAGCCCCUUUCUCCGCGCCAGGCCCGUAUUGUUGGAGCGGCCCACUAAAAGCCCGCCCCGGCCCCAAGCCGCCAGAGGCGCCCGCUUGGGUUCAGCCCUGCGCCUCGCCAGCACGCCGGCUCCCAGUCCGGCUCCCUGGGCGCUGCAGGUGACCCGGCGGCACAUUCCGGCGCUCCCCGCUGCCCAGGCUACCACCACCCGCGACUCAGCCACAAGGAAGCAGAGAGCGCCUGAGCCGUCCCCCGAAACAACAAAAAACAAACAAACCCGAAAUCAACCCGCAUAUCCCAAACCAGCCAACCAACCCCUCCCACAAGCUCCUCUGGACCGACUGAUGGGCUGUGCUUCCUCCCGCGGCUGCCAGAAACCCAGAAGCUGGGGAAUGAUGCGCUCCAGCCGGGCAAUCGCUACGGCUUUGGAAAUACGAACUUGGACAAAUCAAUCCUUUUCAUUAAAAACAACAACAACAACAAAAAUGCU
rnacentral:lncRNA from 1 species